rnacentral:rRNA from 1 species
UACGAAGGAUUCGAGCGUUAUCCGGAUUUAUUGGGUUUAAAGGGUGCGUAGGCGGACUGAUAAGUCAGUGGUGAAAGCCUGUUGCUUAACAACAGAACUGCCAUUGAUACUGCCAGUCUUGAGUACAGUUGAGGUAGGCGGAAUGUGUCAUGUAGUGGUGAAAUACUUAGACAUGACACAGAACACCGAUUGCGAAGGCAGCUUGCUAAACUGUAACUGACGCUGAGGCACGAAAGCAUGGGGAGCAAACAGG